rnacentral:rRNA from 1 species
GAAGGAAAUUAAGUACGGAAGUUCCUGAUUUCACGCUGUCAAGAAAAGCCUCUAGGAAGAGUAGUACUGCCCGUACCGCAAACCGACACAGGUAGAUGAGGAGAGAAUCCUAAGGUGAGCGAGAGAACUCUCGUUAAGGAACUCGGCAAAAUGACCCCGUAACUUCGGGAGAAGGGGUGCUCUAUUAGGGUGCAAGCCCGAGAGAGCCGCAGUGAAUAGGCCCAGGCGACUGUUUAGCAAAAACACAGGUCUCUGCAAAACCGUAAGGUGACGUAUAGGGGCUGACGCCUGCCCGGUGCUGGAAGGUUAAGAGGAGUGCUUAGCUUCGGCGAAGGUACGAAUUGAAGCCCCAGUAAACGGCGGCCGUAACUAUAACGGUCCUAAGGUAGCGAAAUUCCUUGUCGGGUAAGUUCCGACCCGCACGAAAGGCGCAACGAUCUGGGCACUGUCUCAACGAGAGACUCGGUGAAAUUAUAGUACCUGUGAAGAUGCAGGUUACCCGCGACAGGACGGAAAGACCCCGUGGAGCUUUACUGCAACCUGAUAUGGAAUGUUUGUACCGCUUGUACAGGAUAGGUAGGAGCCGAAGAGACGUGUGCGCUAGCAUACGAGGAGGCAAUGGUGGGAUACUACCCUGGCUGUAUGACCAUUCUAACCCGCCACGCUUAGCGCGUGGGGAGACAGUGUCAGGUGGGCAGUUUGACUGGGGCGGUCGCCUCCUAAAGAGUAACGGAGGCGCCCAAAGGUUCCCUCAGAAUGGAUGGAAAUCAUUCGCAGAGUGUAAA